rnacentral:rRNA from 1 species
GAUGAACGCUGGCGGCGUGCCUAAUACAUGCAAGUCGAGCGAACGGACGAGAAUCUUGCUUCUCUGAUGUUAGCGGCGGACGGGUGAGUAACACGUGUAUAACCUACCUAUAAGACUGGGAUAACUUCGGGAAACCGUAGCUAAUACCGGAUAAUAUUUUGAACCGCAUGGUUCAAAAGUGAAAGACGGUCUUGCUGUCACUUAUAGAUGGAUCCGCGCUGCAUUAGAUAGUAGGUAAGGUUACGGGUUACCAAGGCAACUAUGCAUAGCCGACGUGAUAGGGGGAUAGGCCGCCCUGGAGCUGGACCACGGACCAGGGUACUAAGGGAGGGAGCAGAAGGCAACGGUCCGCAAAGGGCGAAAGCCUGACGGAGCAACGCCAAGUGAGUUAUGAAGGUCUUCGGAUCGUAAAACUCUGUUAUUAGGGAAGAACAUAUGUGGAAGUAACUGUGCACAUCGUGACGGUACCUAAUAAGAAAGCCACGGCUAACUACGUG